GCAACCGUUACAUAUGACCAUCAGACAAAUGGCAGAUGUUCUCAAUGUGUAGCACUCUGUGGUCUAGCGGCGCAUGAGGUGGAUGAUUGUUAUCCAUAGUGCUGUGGAUGGUUACAGCAGACUUGUUGUGUUUCUGAAGGCCUCUGACAACAACAGGACUGCCACAGUCAUGGAGUCAUUCGAAGCAGCCAUCACCAGCUACGGAGUACCAUCCCGGGUGAGAUGUGACCGGGUGGUGAAAACAACCGCAUCUGUGCCUUCAUGGAGCAGUUCAGGGGUGGUGAGAGGGGAAGUGCCCUCAGAGGAAGGAGCACUCACAACCAGAGGAUAGAGUGGCUGUGGGGGACGUCUGGCAUGGAGUCUCCAACGUUUACCAUGACCUGUUCACCUUCUUGGACGGAGCAGAUCAUCGACAUCAACAAUGAGGUGCACCUGUGGACACUGCACUUUGUGUUCCUGCCACGGGUGAACAGAGAUCUUGCUGUGUUUGCCAGUCAGUGGAACCACCAUGGGCUGAGGACUGAACAACGGCAGUCACCUCUGCAGUUGUUCGUCUCGGGUUCCCUGGCAAUGCAGAGGGCCAAUCUGACAGCACGAGACGCCCUCGCGCUGUGUGGAGGAAUUCGAUGGUCGGGGUGUCCUCAAACCCAAGGGGUGGCACCACCGUUGCCCCAGUAGCAACCUCCAACACCAGCGCCACUGUUAGAGGAGGACAUUCUCCAUCUGAGGAGUACACAGUAAAACCAUUAAAGUACAUAUUUAAAUCACAAAAUGGAAUAAUAUGCAGUUACCGAUAAACUGGAACAAUUGACUAUUUUACCUUGCACCUCAGCCAGCCAGUUGAACCAGUGGCAGAUGGUGUCAUUCUCCAAACACCGCCGGUUGCAUUCAGGUAUGGAAUAGGUUACUUUAAACAGGUCCCUGGCAGUGGAAGGCUUUAUGGAGUCCACAAAAAGUGCUCGGAAGCUGCCCUAUGGUUCCCCAAUGCUUCAAGCAGCCCAAGAGAGUUGAGACCAUAUUUGAACCUGUUAUGGUUUAAAGACUGUAUGUAUAUUUAAAAUAAGUGUAAUAAAACGUAUCCUAAUAUAAAACAGGGAAAUAGUCCAUGAUCUUUAAAUCAGUAAAAGAACCUACAAUAAGUCUGUUUAAUCACAAGAUUCACACCUAGCUUACUUACAAAGCAAGCACUGUGUCCUCAUGUACUACAUGGAUAUAGGGAAAAUGUACCUAUCCUGUUCAGCUGCCGGAUGGUAGGGUCUGCGAUCAGGCAAACCCUCAUAGUUAUCAACCUGCUUCUCCCGGUUUGCCGCCUUUGGACUCCAGCAUUAUUCUGUCUCCUGAACGAUUGAAAUCUGAAAUGUGCAAACGUUAUAAGUUACAAUAAUGACACUCAGCAUAAUCGACGCCUCCCAUACUCGCGCACCCCACGGUAGCUGUUGCAAUCAUUAGCAAGCUAACGUUACUAGGUAGUUGUGCCGGUUAAUGUUGGCUUUUGCCAGGUAUACCUAACCUACCAGAAUGAAUCCUACCUUUGAACCACCCGAUCCUCCUGGGGGGGUUGUAAAGGUGGUUGCACUUGGCUGGCAAAACUUAAAAAGCGGUCUCUCAUGUUUUCAAGGUCAGACAUGACUUAGUCGUUUGUUGGUGAUGAUGAAUGAGAAGUUUUUCAUAUAGUGAUUGGCCAACAUUUGCAUAUAGUUUACAUAUUGUUAUUUAACGUGUAUCUUUUUGACACUCAAAGACCCAAACGGCGUUCCAUACAGUGAACCCAGCGGAGAGACGGGAGCUGCGGCAGAACGAAAAGAAGAGGGAGGGUCUCCUCAGCCCAGCAGAGAAGUGGUCUCAGCUCCAGAAAGGCACCCACCACAGAGAGAGAAUGGAGUGAGUAUGUCCAGUUAUAAAGACUUUAAAGUUCAUGGACAGAUCGGAGAUCAGAAUCAAAAAGAUAAGCUCAGCUUCAGCAGCCUAGAACAUCAGAUUGAAAAUGGACGGAGAAAAGGCUACCAUGAAAUAGAAAUCAUAGAAGCAGUAAUCAGAGCUGUGAGCCACAGGGCUUAAGAUGAUGAGUUAUCUGGAGGGAAAAACAGACAUGACACUCUACACACUAAGGCAAUUCUUGAGGACACAUUAUGCAGAUAAGGAUGCUACUGAACUGUAUCACAAGUUGACUAAAGCAACACAAGAGUCGGGAGUCUGCCUUGGACUUCCUAGUCCGAGUCUUUGACCUGAGACAGAAAGUGUUAUCAGCCUCAGCUCGUGCCCAAUCAGGACUGAAAUAUGGCACAGAGUUAGUCAAGAGUCAAUGCCUGCAGGCCAUUGUUACAGGAUUAACAAAUGAUAAUGUCAGGGCAGAGAUGAGAGUGCAUCUCCAGAAUAUUAACACCAGUGAUGAACUGUUGCUUGAGAAAAUGCAAAUUGCCCAGGGCAAUGAAUGCGAAUGCAUGCAAAAGGCCAGGAUUUCCUGUAAGUUCACACUCACACAAGUGCACACAGAAUAGAAUGAGGAUAACGGGGAUAGAGGAGAGAAAUGUGAACAGGCAGAGCCCUCACAGACCACAGUCCAAAAACAAAAGAAAUACAAUCCUCUCCUGAGUAAAACUGAUGCGAGCAAUGAAGCAAUCAAACAACUGACCUGUCAGGUUGCCUCAUUAGUACAGUCAGUGCAGGGCCAGGGUGACAGUUCAGUUAGGAAUCGCUCCAACAGAAAACCAAGUCCAACCAACAGGGAGAAAAGACAAUGCAAAAGUUGUUAUGAGACUGGUCAACAGACUUGCCAUCAUUGCUACAAAUGUGGCAGUGAUAGCCAUUGGGCAGUAGAGGAUCAGGGGCAACGCACAUCCAUCAGGAAACGCCUGGGGGUCACAACCAUGGAACGGGGAGUGACCUCAGAUACAUCUAGUUCCAUCCAGUGUUGUAGUGAAAAGGUAGAGAGAAUCUCAGAGUUGAAGUUGUGUUCAUUGUGUCAUAAAGCUGCCUAUUGUUCCAAAGUGUGCCAACAGGAUCAUUGGACACAGCACCAACCUACAUGUAAGUGUAAUACCCUUGUUUGAACCAGGUAAGAAUGAAAAACUAAAGAAAGACUAAACGGCUGUUACCUGUGCUAACAUGAUUAAAAGUGAAGUAAACCGUACUUUUCGCGUUGUAGUUUAUAUGAUAAGCUCAUUGGAAGGGUAACAUAUAUACAGGAUGUACAUAAAUGGGCAUAAACACGUGACACAGAAAAUAAAAAAUAUUGACAUUUAGGAAUUGAAAAUGCAUCUAAAUAUAUUUCGUU
rnacentral:lncRNA from 8 species